rnacentral:lncRNA from 1 species
UGCUUCUUCUUCUUAUCUAACGAAUAGACCCCUCAUCCCAAAAACGGAUGCACACAAAAACAGAAAGGAAAAGAAGCGAACAAGCAAUGUAUUUUGGUCUUAGAAAAAAUGGAGUCUGAUGGAGGUUGAAUCGCCUGAGAUUCGUCCAAAGUAUCCGGCGAGGCUUCAAUGUCGAAGCUCUAACGCAUAGUUUCAGUUUCUUUUUGGGUCCAUUGGAUACUUAUCUCUUUUUGUAUACGUUGACUUUGUUCAUCAAUAAAAUUUGUUCCAUAAUUAGAUAUUCUGGUGUUGAGACUCGAAGCAAUUUGAGAAAAAAAAAUCCUACUGCCCAAACCAUCCUCCAUAGCCAGCGACGAACAUGAGCAUCCUUCUGCUCGUCGACCACCAGCAGUCCGCCUCUCACCAAUCGCGACCAGCACGAGCAGCCUUCUGCUCGUCGACCACCAGCAGUCCGCCUUUCACCAGUCGCGACCAGCAGUCUGUCUUCAGUCAGUUUCCAAACGACCACCUGAUGUUCCUUCUUCAUAAAGCGAAACAACCCUUUAGCUUCUAUCGAGUCUGGACAGUAACACCGCCAGGAAGAAGUUCUAUCCGUCUCGAGUUUUCUGGUCGAGCUUUGUUAACAGAGUUUCAAUAACUGUUCCGUUGUUCGUCGAGGUUCCGCGUCUAGUCGUUGUUCGUGGUUCCGGUCUGGUUCGAGUUCUGCCUGAAGUUCUAGCAAUUUGAGCACGAGACUCUAACCAAUUGAGUAGAAGCUUUGGGAUUGAGCAUAAUGAUUGUUAAUUGUUCUAUGAACUUCCUUCAAGAUUA